rnacentral:rRNA from 1 species
CAGUCGCCGCGGGAAUACGUAGGUGGCAAGCGUUGUCCGGAAUUAUUGGGCGUAAAGCGCGCGCAGGCGGAUCAGUUAGUCUGUCUUAAAAGUUCGGGGCUUAACCCCGUGAUGGGAUGGAAACUGCUGAUCUAGAGUAUCGGAGAGGAAAGUGGAAUUCCUAGUGUAGCGGUGAAAUGCGUAGAUAUUAGGAAGAACACCAGUGGCGAAGGCGACUUUCUGGACGAAAACUGACGCUGAGGCGCGAAAGCCAGGGGAGCGAACGGGAUUAGAUACCCCCGUAGUCCCUGUCUCUUAUACC